AGCCUCUGAUGUCAGAAAAUAUUUGCUACUCUUGAUGGGGAACCCAUCUGAUGAUCAUCGACCACCAAGAUCUCUGAGGCU